CGGCCGUGGAGGCGGCGGAAGCGGCUCGGGCCGCCAUCUUGGCAUAUUUUGCAGGGCCAACUGGACAGAUGUGAGUCUCCGGCAACCCCUCAGCAUUGAAGGCCACAGGAAAACCUCUAUUUUCACUGAAGUUCUCCAAAACACAAGCUGCUGGAGUAAAGACACCCAUGCCACACAGGAGGUCAAGAAGGUCGAGUGCAUCAGAGCCCAUGGAACAACAGACUGCAGACAGUGGCAGCUCUCAGCCUGCUGCUUGGCGACGACAGGCUGUCCUUAGAGAAAGGCCCCCAAAGCAAGAACUGAGGAAGCAGCUGUGAAAAUGAGCCCCAUCUGAAAUGUGUCUCACCAGCUCCCUCCUCUCCACUUCGAACCACCGAGAGAUGCCAGGCAAGCUGUGGGUCAGGGUCAGCGUGGUACGCUCGAUCCACAGGCUCUGCAGGGAAGGCACAGGUAGGUUUAGGCCAUUAAGUGAUUUUUACCAUGCCCUCCCUGCCCGAAGGGUGAGACACUGAUGAGCUCCUGAGAAUGUGGGGCUUGCCCCGGCCUCGCUAUAAGCACUGCCCCCACUUCCCUAGAUUUGUUCACCUUGAAUUCAUUCUCCUUGUCCUUGGGGCCUUUGUGAAAAGGCCUGUCGUACCGGAACUUCCUCACAUUGUUGACGCGGUAGAAGCUCUUGACGCGAUCUGGGACCCUGUCCAUCUGCAGGACGUCCACAUAAUCUGGAAUGGGCGUCACUGCAUAGAUCUGCAAGUCUGGGCAGGAAGUGAAGGAGAAACCCAGAGAGACUGAAAGAGAGAUGGACCUGAGUGGCUGACCCCUGUCAUCCCCCCAAAGGAGAGAGGAACACCACAGCCCUGUUCCCUACUGGCAGCAGCAGCAUUUCAAGAGGCAGAUCAGACCCAAACACAGACUGAAUCUCCCUAUCUGCCCCUCUCCCUGCUCCAGCAGUCAGUCUCCUGAGCACUCAGCC